UACGAAGGGGGCUAGCGUUGCUCGGAAUUACUGGGCGUAAAGGGCGCGUAGGCGGCCGAUCAAGUCAGGCGUGAAAUUCCCGGGCUCAACCUGGGGGCUGCGCUUGAGACUGGUUGCUAGAGGCCGAGAGAGGGUGGUGGAAUUCCCAGUGUAGAGGUGAAAUUCGUAGAUAUUGGGAAGAACACCGGUGGCGAAGGCGACUUACUGGACUGUAACUGACGCUGAGGCAUGAAAGCGUGGGGAGCAAACAGG
rnacentral:rRNA from 1 species